UGCAAGAGAGCACGUGCAAGACAAGACUGGGAGACGCACGCUCUGUUAUUAAGACGUGCUGCCUGCUGUUGUGGUCUGUUGUGCCCACCCCUGGGAAUGCCUGUGGAGUGCCUGAGUGCCCUGUGUGUGUAUGUGGAGGCUGCCCUGUGAUGUACUGUGAACUGAGGACUCAGUAAAGGACAUGAGUAAGUUGGUGUUUCUCUGUCCGGCGGUGCCUGCCACCCACCUGCCAUUGUGUGCCUCAUGCUGAUGUGCUCCUGGGUGCUCCGGACCCUUGACAACGAAGCUGACGCAGCCAGUGAAAGCGGACAACCACAGAGACGUUGGCACCUGACCAGAUAGCCUCGUUGGUCGCCGUCGGUCCAACCUGGCACUCGUACUCGCCUUCAUCUUCAAGAGUAGCGCCGCGGAUCACCAGGUGGUGCUCGCCGAUGGUCUCGUUGCCCACGUACUGAUAGCGAGGAUAGCCAGGCACGGUGCGGUUGAAGCCUGUCCGGGUUGUUGGUCGCAGGUUGACGCCCUUUUGCCGCUAGAGAAAGACGGUUUCAUGUCAAAAUUUACCCAGAUGACGCCACUGUGCAAAUAUUGUAUCGAGAUGAGAACAUCAAAACGUCUUCCAGGGUCACGGAGGGAACAGGUACGGGACCACGGACCAACAACUGCGCGUGGCGCUUUGCAAUACAGGGAAAUGACCUUGGCGGAAAGGAGAUGUAUGGCUGAGCUCUCCCAUACGUUCCACUACGCUGACAGCUGCCACCAUCAAAUGUUGUAGGACCUAAGAGGGUGGCUUAUCAGACAGACUUGGUCGUCUCAGAUCUGUCCCCCACGCCGCGCUGCCCAUCUGUCACCUCUUGAGCACCGCCACACACACCCAGCCGUUCCCGCUCAGGUCAUGAUGGUGGUGGUGCUUGUGUCUGCGUGCCCCCAAGUACGAGAGACCUGGUUGUGCAAUUGCUCCGUGUCACAACAUCACUUCUUCCCUAUCAGUCCAACCACGCUAACCAUUAAUGCAAGAUCGUAUAGGAAGGCCCUCGUCCAUGCGAAGACCCUCGGCUGAAUCGAGGAGGCACGUUGAAACUGCAUUACUUCUUGGCGUGAAAUCAUCUCGUCACUUACCGUCGAGGACGUUUGACUACUGAUCCCGUUUUUGCUGACGAUGGUCUCCUGAUCGUGAAACCUCUACAUUAUCAGCGUCCACCCUCCAUUCAUAGUGUAAGCGUGGCUGGUCUCCAGAUUGUCGUGAAGCCUACACAGUGUUACCAGCGUCGGCCCUCCAUUCCUAGUGUAGGCGUGGCUGGUUCGUUUUCCAAAGAGACAUUGUAAGACUCAUGGAUUAGUAGUGUUGCUGAUUAAUGAGCAGUUGGUUUGGUCUAAGAGUUCGAGAAACUCUCCCUUUAUUUAUUUUUUUUUUUAAUAAAAAAAAAAAAACAUCGAGAGGUCUCAUCUCUUUUCUCGGGAGACUCUUUAAGGUAUAGCACUCGCUUUAUUUAUCUAGGGAGACUCUUCCAGGUAUGCCACUUGCUUUGUUUCUCUCGGGAGACUUUUCAAGGUAUGGCACCUUAAUUUUUCUCGGGAAACUUGGAGGCACCCGCUACAAGUUGGAGGGAAGAGUAGUCGUGAUCUGGCGUAGAUAAACAUUAGAUGUGUAAGAUGUAAUGGUAUUCGUACAUUGCCUUGGUCUAGAAAUAUGGUUGGAUUGUUUACAAGUUCAGUAUGAUUAUAUUUAUUAUGUUCAGGAUCAAUUGAAUGGAUGGAAUCCCUGAAUAUUUUCAAGUAACAUGAAAAAUACAUUAUUAAAUUGUUCGUGUUACGUGUUGAUAGUAUAAAGUAUUUUUCAUGAAUUAUAAUAUUCAUAUUUAGGAAAUGUAAAUUACGAGUCUAGGAGUAAUUUAUUUAUUCAGGAACUUGCGUAACUACUUUCACACUACUAGAGGCUACGGGGGGAGGGGGGUGAGAAAGCACGCUUAAGAAUUUGGUAAGGGUGUAGAUGCACGUCUAUGACGAGAAAACUGCGCCCGUUGUUGAGGCACUGGAUGGGCGCCUGACUAGGAAUCACGUUGAUCCUAUUAACAAUAAUAAUAGGAAUGACGUUGGUUUUAUUAACAAUAAUUGUAGAGAAUCGUGGUAGACAUACUGAUGUGUAUAUAUAUAUAUAACAAUUGUAGACUCGAUGAUGUACAUAGAGAGUUACACGUG